GUCGGCAAGGUCGCUCUAUGUUCUCCCACAUCCGAACUUGAAGCUCUCCUCUCUCUCUCCUGCCAUGGCUGGCCAUCACCCACCACCGGCCGAUCUCCUCCUCCGUUGAUCCUCUUUCUAUUUCCUUGCGCCAUAGCGUUUGCCUCGACGAGGAGAAUCCAUUUUUCCCCUUUCCCCUCUCCCUCCACCUUGAGAUAAACCGCCACCACCACCUUCUCUUAUCGCCGGAGUUGAGCUCCUGCCGUCGCCGUUCCGGCCUCCUCCCCUAACUCCUUCGCUGGGCGACCACUUCCCCGGGUGCGUGUCGCUCGGGAACACACUUGGCCGCCGCUGUUGAGGCCGUUCCACCAUCGGAGCACCGGCGUCCCUUCUCUCUCUCUCUCUCUCUCUCUCUCUGCUGUUCACGGGAAGAAGAGAAGGAAGAAGAAGACGAGAGGAAGAAGAAGGAGAAAAGAAAAAAAAAUAAAGAGCUACUGACAGAGAUAAAUUGAAGUUCUUGCCGAAGCCAGGAGUUCAAUCAUAUAAGUUUGUCUUAUUUCAACCUAGUUCUCAAAUAUAGAUUAAUUAGAUGGUUUAAGUCUAUAGCAAAACCUUAGAGUUGAGUCACACUAUAGCUUCUGCUGUAAUAGUUAGCCACAAUCUUGUAAAUUCCCCUAUUAUUUUAUGUAAUAACAUCUCCUUUGGAGCCUUGUUCAAA